rnacentral:rRNA from 1 species
CACGUAGGGCGCAAGCGUUGUCCGGAAUUAUUGGGCGUAAAGAGCUCGUAGGCGGUCUGUUACGUCUGCUGUGAAAACCCUGGGCUUAACCCUGGGCUUGCAGUGGAUACGGGCAGACUAGAGGCAGGUAGGGGAGAAUGGAAUUCCCGGUGUAGCGGUGAAAUGCGCAGAUAUCGGGAGGAACACCGGUGGCGAAGGCGGCCCUCUGGACGGUGACUGACGCUGAGACGCGAAAGCGUGGGGAGCAAACAGG